AAGGGCACGCAGGCGGUUCUGUCAGUCAGAUGUGAAAGCCCGGGGCUUAACNCCGGACGUGCAUUUGAAACAGCAGGACUUGAGUACGGUAGAGGAAAGCGGAAUUCCUGGUGUAGAGGUGAAAUUCGUAGAUAUCAGGAGGAACACCGGUGGCGAAGGCGGCUUUCUGGACCGAAACUGACGCUGAGGUGCGAAGGCGUGGGUAGCGAACAGGAUUAGAUACCCUGGUAGUCCACGCAGUAAACGUUGUACACUAGGUGUAGCGGGUAUUGACCCCUGCUGUGCCGGAGCUAACGCAUUAAGUGUACCGCCUGGGGAGUACGGCCGCAAGGCUAAAACUCAAAGAAAUUGACGGGGGCCCGCACAAGCGGUGGAGCAUGUGGUUUAAUUCGACGCAACGCGAAGAACCUUACCCAGACUUGACAUCCUGUGAACCCCUCAGAGACGUGGGGGUGCCUUCGGGAGCACAGAGACAGGUGCUGCAUGGCUGUCGUCAGCUCGUGUCGUGAGAUGUUCGGUUAAGUCCGGCAACGAGCGCAACCCUUGUCUUCAGUUGCCAGCACGUAAAGGUGGGAACUCUGAAGAGACUGCCCCGGUUAACGGGGAGGAAGGUGGGGAUGACGUCAAGUCCUCAUGGCCCUUAUGUCUGGGGCUACACACGUGCUACAAUGGUAUGUACAAAGGGCAGCAAGCAUGCGAGUGCAAGCCAAUCCCUUAAAGCAUAUCCCAGUCCGGAUUGGAGUCUGCAACUCGACUCCAUGAAGUUGGAAUCGCUAGUAAUCGUGGAUCAGCAUGCCACGGUGAAUACGU
rnacentral:rRNA from 1 species